rnacentral:lncRNA from 1 species
CUGGGCUGUGGCCCUGGGGACGCUACCACUGGCCUCACACCCUGGGACGUGGAUGGGCCGCUCUGGCCUGUCUGCAGGGGAAACGGCUGUCACUUCCAUCAGAGACGACGGAUGCAGCAGGGCCUGUCUGUGCCAAAACCAGAGUCGAGUUCCAGCCAGACCACGGGGCUUCUCACCGUCCCUCCCACUGCGGCUGCCGUCCUCUGGCCUGGACUGUCUUACCCUUCCACCCUCCUGGCUGAGCUCGCCCGUCUCCUUGGAACGCUCUCACAAGCCCCCUGCCAGAAGGCGCUCGUCUGGACCACCUGACCCCACGGGCCCCUCCCCUGCUUGCUUGGCCACACCUCUCCGUGAGACUGGCCAUCUGUGGCAGCCGUGGUGUGGGUGAGUUUCGUCCUGCUAACUCUCCUCCAUACCUGCUCCAUGCCUGGCAGUGGUGGUCCAGGGGCUGGGUGCCCAGGGUAAAGUGGGGAAGAAGGUGAUAGGCACCCAGCCACACGCUCCGUGCCCACCGAUCCCUGGGGCCAGCCAGGCUGCAGGUGCCCUCCCCCAGGUGAGAGUCCACUCGGUCUUGCGAUUCCAACAGAAUAGCCCUUCUCUCCUUCUUCUGUGUGUCUCCAGGGCCAGGGAGGAGAUGCUCUGGGCAGAGAGCCCAGGUGGGGUCUCAGCCUGGGAGUGAUGGUGCUGCCGUGGUUCCAAUGUCUGUGUUCCUCCGAAAUUCACAUUGAGACUGAAUCCCCAGUGCAACAGGGUCCAGAGGUAAGGCCUUCAGGAGGGUUAGGCCGUAAGGGUUCCACCUUCAAGGGUAGGAUUAGAGCCUUAUGAAAGGGCUGUCUGACUGGCCAGGCCCCUUUUGCCCUUCCACCUUCUGCUAUGAGAGGACACAGUAACAAGGGGCCAUCGUGGAAGCACAGAGCAGUCCUUCCCAGACACCAAAUCUGCUGGGGCCCUGGUCUUGGACUUCCCAGACUCCAGAGCUGUAAGUGGUACAUUUCUGCUCUUUACAACUCACCCA